GUGUGUUUAUAUUUGACACUGAGUGCAUUCUAUAAAGUGUUGGGUUUCAUUUGCUUUAUAGCCAAAAAAUAAGAUAAUGUGAAUUAUGUUCCUCCUAGUCUAGGUCAACUUAUCUGGCUUGAAAACCAACUCUGUUAUCUUUGGUGAUAGAUCUGAACUAGAUUACUAGCUGCUUAAUAAAUACAUGUUGAAUGAUGAGUUGAUUCUUAUGCUCAGCCACCCCGAUUGCAGACAUAUUCUAAUGUGAUGCUGGGAUUGAAUUUACCUAGAACUCUAUUUCAAGACUGACUCUAAAGUCUUUUGGACGAUCUGGAAGAAAUUUGUAAGUGCUCUUUUGGUAGUGAUUAUCUUAAGCUCACUGUGCCUAUUUUUGUUUUUAUAAUGUUUACUUUAUUCUUUAACUUUCUGAUUAAUUAUGUAAUUAAUUAGGUAAAUUAUAAAAACUUUGCAGUAACUACAGAGACAAGUGAGGUAUGGCAGAAGGAAUGUUUAUCAGUGUUUCUCUUGUUGGGCUUCCCAUUUUGUUCCUUGCUCUUCACUCUUUUACUGUUAAACUUGGUCUCAUUUUUUAAAAAGUAGCAUGAAUUGGGCUGGGGAUUUAGCUCAGUAGUUCCACUGCCUGCCUUGCAAGCCCAAGGACCUGAGUUCGAUUCCCGGUACCAAAAAAAAAAAAAAAGUAGCAUGAAUGUGUCAGAAAUACUGGUUUUGAAAUAAUUGAAAAAAAUGACUAAGGAAAACACUUGUUACCAUUAAGAUGGUCUCUUAUAAGCUGUACUUUUAAGUAUUCCUUUUAAAACCCCAAAUGAUAUUGAGGCUUUUGGAUAAUUCUGAAAUAUUGAGAGAAUAAUGAGAAAAAUAUAUUAGUAAUGAUGUUCUCCCAAAGUUUGAUUUUUCUUAUAAACAUUUUUGACUCAGUAAGUCAGCUAUUUGAAAACUACUUUUUUUUUUUAAGAGUAGGAAAAAUUUAUUGAAAGAAAGCUUCUGUCUAAGAGAGACAAGAGGGGGACCAGAAAGUGGGUUUCCUGCUCACCCCACGUUUCAAAAGUGUUUUAUACAGCAAAGCCAUGUGGUGAGGUGAAUACAAAGUGGGACAAAACUAUAAGACCCAGUGGAAAUUUACAAGGUGGACAUGAGGUGGGACAAAACCUUGACCAAUAAGAUUACAAGUACAGUCACCCAGGUAAUAUUGAUUAAAUGGGCUAAAAUGGGGGAGCAAGUCAUGUAACAAAUGUACAAGGAUUUUUAGUAAGGGUGGGGGUCAGGGAUGUUUCCUGGAAAGGCUGGGUUAAGACCUUGGCCCCCCACCCAGGUGAUUGAUACCUCUUUAGAAUAUCAAUCACUGCUAUUCAUCCCACAUGUUUUUUUUUUUUCAAAGUUGUAGGUCUUUCAUGCCAUAGUAGUCUUCCUUAAUAUUUACAAUACAUUCACCAAGAUAAUCAGAUAUGACCCAGGAGCUUCACUUUCUGCCAAAAUUGUUUUAGCCAUUGUAGAGCUUCCUCAAAAUAGAGGCCCCAUUAAUGCUCUGAAAGAUUUUUGUGACUGUGCUUUAAUUAUAGUAAAAAAUGUGUCAUUGUUACCAUUUUAUUGUUAUAUUUGAGGCACAAAUAAAAUGAUUCCAUACUUAUCUAGCACUUAAGAUUUUCAAAGCACUUUUGUAACUUUUGUCUUCAUUUUUCUCUUUGGCCUUAUGAUACAUGUAAGAGUGAUUCUUUGUUUGGUAAGUGGAGAACUUAAAAGACAAGGAAUUAAAAUGAUUGAGAAAGCUAAUAGAGCUUAUUGUAAUUUUAUAAUUCAAAAUAAACAAGUGUUAUUAGAACAUGUUUUUGCUAACAGUCUUUUGAGUGGAAGAAGAAAUUAAUAUGCUUAAUGUACAGUAGGGUUGUAUUGUAAGGCCUUUUGUAAGGCCUUUUGGUAAUAACUUUCUCAUUAUUUGAAUUGUGGGUUAUUUAUGUGUAUAAGAACAGAGAGAGUUUUUAUUUAUACUAAGUAGGAAAUACUACCUAACAAUGGACAUCGUGGAAUAAAUUAUUUUUAAAAGAUAUGGAAUCUUCUUCCCAGGAGGGAACUUAAUUGCAUUUGAAGUUAGUUCUCAAAACUGCUUCUAGAACUUGCUAAUUAGUUUCACUAGUUAUGUGCUUAUAGUGGCAAGUGUUUUUUAAAAAAUUCUUAAAUGAACACUAACCACAUAUUGGUGUAAAUAAUGCAUAUACAUAAGGCCAAAGGUUCCUCUUAAUGGGAAACUGCAUUAUGAAAAAGCAUUUAUUCUUGGAAGUUUAUAAAAUUAUUAACUCUUUAUCUGGGGAGAUUAUAAGAGUGAAAUGAUGAUGGCACAGAUUUGAGGGUCCAGCUGAUGUGAUAUUGCAUCCUUGAAGUCAUUUGUUAGCUUUCUUAUUAACCUAGCUUAAUUUCUUUCAAUUUUUAUAUUUCAGCUUUCAAAUUGUAAUGAGGGACUAAUAUACCUGUUUUGUGGGCUUAGUGUUAAAUUUAGCACUUGAUAUAUAGCUAUUUUUAAGAAACAUCAUCGUUUCUUUCUACAUCUUUAUUACUUUCCCCUCCCCCCCCAAAAAACCAAAAAUUCCUAGGAGGGAGUACUUGGUUGUAUCUUCCUGUUUUCAAACAAUUUGCUUAGUUUCAUUCCCUGUUUUACCUUUCCAAGAGGUUAAAUAACCUUCCCUUUUUAAUGCUUCUAAAAUGGAAACCAAAGAAUUGUUUUCAUACAAUUUAUAAGGAAGAGCAUUUGCAUUUGUGGUAUGUGGAUAAUUGAGGAAUUGUGUGCAUGCCUGUGUGUGUAUAUGUGUGUGUGUCAUGUAUAUUUUCUUGUAGAUAUUCAGUUAUUUUGAAUUUCCCUUGUAAGACAAUCAAAUCAAAAUAAAAAUUUGUAUUUAGUUAUUUCAGUGGAGUACACAAAUUUAUUCACAUAUUUAUAAAAAUUGCUAUAAAUUUUGGUCUUUUUAAUUUUAUUGAAAAGUGAAGGGGCUAUGCAAAAAGCUAGUUUGUCUGAGGGAAGGCUAGGUCGGUAAUUCAAAUACAUAGUGCACUGACAUUUCUUGGUAAAAAGAAGCAGAGUGUGUAAGACUGCAAAUCUAGACACUACAGAGUGUAGCUGUUGAGAAUGCAGUGAGGAAAGCACAUUGCCCAAGCCUGAAUGAUGGUUCUAAAACAAAUCUUCCACAAAUAAAACCAUGCAUGAGUCAAAUACAUUCUUCAAUCCUUAGUUCCUUAAUGUAGACAAUAGCGAUGAUAAUGCGUAUUUUACAGAGAUGAGAACUUAAUAUAAGAAUAAAUGUAAAGGAAAUAGAAAUAAAAUAUUCCAGUUGCUAUUUUGUUUCCUAUUAUAUUAGUUUCUAAGAAAGAAUGUAUUAUUCAGACCACAUGGCAACCGCUUUGCAUAUAUUCUAACCUUGGUUUAACCACUGGUUUUACAAGAAAUGCUACAUUGAGUCAAUUUUGUGUCUUAGUACUGGGAACUAUAAAAAAAGUAAGAACAACAAAAAUUUAUUUUUCAUAGUAAGGGAGGCUGGAAGUCCAAGAUCAGGGUGUCAACCAGAGUCUGUUCCUGGUAAGGACCAUCUUUCAGAUUCCAGACUGCCAAAUUUUGUUUGUGCUUAUUCAUGUCAGAGAAAAACUAGAGAAUACCUCGUGGUCCUUAGAAGAACAUUGAACUCUUUAGUGAACAUGCCAUUUUUUUAGCCUAGUUACCUUCUAAAAGCCCCACCGCCCACUACCAUUAUAUUAGUUUGUAGGAUUUUAACGUAUGCAUUUUGAGGCAAUACAAACAUUGCAAUAAGUAAAUGUGUUCUCUGUGUGUUGGAUAGAAUGUGCAUCCGUUUUCUAUUAUUGUGUGACAAGUUCCCACACAGAAGCUGAAAACAACAUACAUUUAUUAUCUCACAGUUUCUUCUAGUCAGAAAUCCAAGCAUGACUUAGCUCAGGGCCUUAAAAAACUUCAGUACAAAUGUCUGCCAAAUUGCAUUUUCAUUUCUCCUUUGGUCUCCUCUUCCAAACACACUGGUUCUCACUAAAUUGAGUUCAUUGUAGUUGGAGGACUGGGAUCCUUCUAAAGGUCACAUACAGUUCCCAUUCAUAUGCAUUCUCCAAACAUAGUUCACGGCAUAGCAGCUUGUUUCUUUAAUGCUAACAGGAGAAACUCUACUGGAUGCUAGCAAGAUGGAGUAAAAAAUGCAUAUAUAUCCGUAGAGAUACAUACGUACAUUAAGUAAUCAUUGGGUGACAUCCCAAUUACCUUUGCCAUACUGUAUUGUUUAGAAACAAGUCACAGAUCUUGCCUAUACUUUAAGGGAGAGAAUUACACAAGGUAUAAAUAUGGGGCCCGCCAGAGGUCUAAUACAAGAUAUUAAGCUUCUCAGCUGAAAUCUCAUGUAACCUGUUAUAAAAUUGUAUUUAAUAAGAAAGGAAUAUUGUCACUGAUUGUAAAAUUUUAUUCCCAGUUAUUCUUACAGUGUAACUCCCAACCAACUAUUCCUCCUGUCUGAAAUUCAUCCAUUAUUUCAAGAUGGUUAAACCUACCAGACUAAACAACCUAGCCUGGUACUGUGCUCUCCAGCAUCUGGCAAAGCCCAAACAUCCAACUUUUCCCCCCCAUUAAUCUCAUGUAUAUGCCUUGACAAGUGCCUUAUACUUGCUCAUAUAUUUGUCAAUGAAUGGGCUCUUGUUUCUUUCCUAGUCUCCAUCCAUUUAAAACACAUUUAAAUUUAUUUCUCUCCCAUUGUAUUGUUAUUUCUUUAGUCCUUUAUAGCUAGCUGAAGUUUUUCCUGCAUCAUAUCCCAUCACAUUAUAUCCAAUCUAAUUUUACAGUUAAAUGAUACUUUGUCUCAUUUCCUUGCUACUAGGUGAGAUGGGGAUGUGUACAUUCAUCCAUGGGUUACCUGCAGCCAGUAUAUAAUAGUAUCUUAAGAAACAUUCUCUGCAUAUAUAAAUGUCUUUUCUAUUUAUAACAGUGGUUUACAGUUAGAACUUGCAUCUUCCUAGACAUAGAAUUUAGGACUAAGGCUAAAACAUUCCUGGGUUCUGACUGGUUCUUAUUAAUAUUUACUGGUUUUGUUUUAAACUACUGACUUUUGGGGUAAUUUGGUCAUAAAGCAUUUGAUAAUUAAUAUAUUAUAAAAAGUCCCAGACCUAAAUUAUUUUCAUGAAUUACAGCAUUGUAGUUUUCUUUGGCGAGAAUACAGAGAUCAUUAGUGUACCAAAUACAUGGUCUCUCAGGCGAAUGUAAUGGAAGAAAAGCACGUAUAUUUAUAAAAUAGUGAACAAAGUGAGAAUAAAAUUGGAAAUGUUUAAAUUUCAUUAGGAAUAGUGAUUUUUUUUAAUCACAGAAAAGCCACUUUUAAUGGCUUGGCCAUGAAUCGUAUCAGUAUUGAAGAAUUAUUCUUACUUAGGGAUGAGUAGGCUCAAAUGAUGGUCUGGAACACAUUCAUUUGUAAAAGAGCUGUGAUGAAUAGUUAAAACACUGUUCCUGUUCCAGAAUCCGGCCUUACAGAAUCUAUUCCUCUACUUUUCUUGUGCUCCUUCAUUGUCUUUUGUGAAGUUGUAAAUAAUAGACUUACAGAAAAGUAGCUUUAAGUAUACAAUAUAUACCUAAUUGGGAUACAAUAUUUUGAAGUGCAGAGUUAAUUAGAAAAAUAAUACAUUUGGUCUCUGAAAAAAUAAAUUCAGAAGUAUGUAUGUGUAAUCAAGUAG
rnacentral:lncRNA from 1 species